GACGAACGCUGGCGGCGUGCCUAAUACAUGCAAGUUGAGCGCAGGAGGGUGGUACUUGUACCAACUGGAUGAGCAGCGAACGGGUGAGUAACGCGUGGGGAAUCUGCCUUUGAGCGGGGGACAACAUCUGGAAACGAAUGCUAAUACCGCAUAAAAACUUUAAACACAAGUUUCAAGUUUGAAAGAUGCAAUUGCAUCACUCUAUGAUGAUCCCGCCUUGUAAUAGCUAAUUGGUUAGGGUAAGGCCCAACAAAGGCAAGAAACAUAACCGACCUGGAGGGGUGAUCCGCCACAUCUGGACUGAGGCAACGCCCAAACCUCUACGGGGGGCAGCAGUAGGGAAUUUUCGGCAAUGGACGAAAGGCUGACCGGGCAACGCCGCGUGAGUGAAUGAGGUUUUCGGAUCGUAAAACUCUUUUGGUAGAGAAGAACGUUGGGGAGAGUGGAAAGCUCAUCAAGUGACGGUAACUACCCAGAAAGGGACGGCUAACUACGUG
rnacentral:rRNA from 1 species